UACAGAGGUCUCAAGCGUUGUUCGGAUUCAUUGGGCGUAAAGGGUGCGUAGGCGGCGCGGUAAGUCGGGUGUGAAAUCUCGGAGCUUAACUCCGAAACUGCAUUCGAUACUGCCGUGCUUGAGGACUGGAGAGGAGACUUGGAAUUUACGGUGUAGCGGUGAAAUGCGUAGAUAUCGUAAGGAAGACCAGUGGCGAAGGCGGGUCUCUGGACAGUUCCUGACGCUGAGGCACGAAGGCAGGGGAGC
rnacentral:rRNA from 1 species